rnacentral:lncRNA from 1 species
AAUAUUGGCAGUAAAGAUAUCACACUGUUAAGAUACAACAGUAAUUUAUUGAUCUUUAAAACAAAAAUAAUUUGACAAUAAAAUAAAAAAUAUACUUCUUCUAACUUUGGCAUAUAUCACAAUAUAUACUUGGACAACCUACAACAAUUAUGAUAGUUAACAAAGCAGGGACUAAGGGAGAUAAUCUGGAAUGUCUGACAAAGGAAGGAACAAUCUGGAAUGGCAAAUAAAGGGAAAUAAUUGCAACAAUGAUAAUUUCAGAAUGUUUAGAUUUCUGCUGGUUUGACAUUUCCCAAAAUGAGUAAAUGUAAAAUCUGAUUAACUUUUUGCUGGAAAGAAAGCAAAAAUAAAUUAAUCAAGCUUAGGUAUACUAUCAAUUAAAAUAUCUGACUUUGGCAAAUACAAUCUUACAUCAGGAAAUAAUAAUGUUGUUCAUUGACAAGUCUUUUCUUACAUUAAGCAAUAAUUUAAAAAAAAAAAUACACAGUAAUUCAUCUUUCCAUAAUCCUACCUUUGAGCAUCACAUAAUAAAUAGCAACCUUUAUAGUAAAACUACUAGAUUAUUAACCUUAUUUUACGGAGUUCACAUGAAACCAUGUCAUCAUUUGUAUUGUGUACAAAUAUAAAUCUCUGUAAAAAUGUCAAGACUUGGAUCCAUUCAUUUAUAAACUUUGAACUAUUAUAGAAAAUGGUGAAAAUAAAUUAGUUCAAAAACUGCUAGAAAGGGUCAAAAAUGUAAAAACCGAGUAUUCGUGAAAAUAAGUUGUUUUAUAGCAGGUUCCUACUUAAUCAAGUUGUUGUUUCAAUAUAAAAUAUAAAUAUAAUUGUAAAAUAAUAAUUAUCAACGAAAAUAUCAACAAUAAAUUAAAAAUAACAAACAUAAUAAAAUAUUUUAAAUUCACAAAAAUAUUCAUAGCCGACAGCUCAUAGAUCUUGAUAACUUUUAUCACUUACAAAAAAUAUUCCAACAACAGAAUUUAAUAAUAACCUAGGAAUAAUUGUUUUACUAUUGUACAUUUUUUUCUGAUUUUACAUAAUUAAGUACUAUAUAUUUCAUGAAUAUCUAAAUGCUCAGUUUAUACUGGUAGUCUAAAAACAAAUAAUUUUGAACAUUUGAUAUUGCACUGCCAGUAUGAUAGUCUCCUAACCAGUAUAACCAGUGAAGUGAUAUUGCACUGAAAGUUUUUCAUAUGAAGUAGGAAUUCUUAUUUUGUAAUAUUGUACAAAUGUCUUGUUAUCCACAACGAUGGACAGACAACAUUAAUGUGGGCUGCCAAUUAAGGACACCUGAAGGUCUAAUUGAUCUAAAUCCAUUAAAAUUAAUAUUUUUGACAUUUGACCAAAAUUGCUCCAUUAACAAUUAAGAUCAAAGACACAUUGAGAUCUUAAUGUAUAAUUUUUAUUUACUUUGAAUUUAAAUCAGUCGUAAUAAAACCUUUAAAAAUAAAAGACACAGCUUCAAUAUGAGCUGCCAUCUUCUUUUACAGAAGUUUGGAUUUACACGAUUAUUGCAUGCUGCACAGAGAGGACUCCUGGAAGGAUGGAAAUAUAAAAAUUAACAAUACUGUAGGCGGACAAAAAAAUACCUUCCUGAAGGUGUAGAAAUAUGAGCAUUAACAAUGCAAGUAAUAAAGGGGCCAUAUACCAAAAAAAUAAAAUGUUAUUACAUCUACAUUAUCACUCGUUUCUUCAUAGUGAAUCAUCUUUCCAUGAACCCAUUUAUAAAGGUGUAGAAACAUGACCAUUAACAAUGCAAGUAAUAAAGGGACCAUAUGCCAAAAAAUUUAAAAUGUUAUUACAUCUACAUUAUCACUCGUUUCUUCAUAUUGAAUCAUCUUUCCAUGAACCCAUUUAUAUCUUUUUUUUUAUUCUAAACAUAAUUUAUUAAUCAAUAAUAUCAAUCCGAAUUUGCCCGGAGAAGCAACUAAAAUUAUUUGAAAGGAAAUGUGUAAUUCAUGCAUAAAAGUUGGAUUUAUGAUUUUGUUUUACAAAAAGGAUUUAUUUUAAAGAUAUGGUACUUAAACAGUUGCUUAUAAUAAGUACCUGUUGAGACAACUUGUCCUUGUUACAAGUAUAUAAAAGAAAUAGUUAAUAUGCACAAUCAAAAUGUAUAGUACAUAGAGUGAGUUGAUUGCAAAUGUAUAUGAUAAUUUAUUCAGUAUGGAAUUGUUUAUUACAGUGGCCUGAUCACGCAAAAUUAUAUAGUUCCAUACUAAAAGUCUCAUUAAUAUUAAAAUAUCUUUUAAUAGUAGUUUUAACAUAGGGUCUCAUUAAACAACUGCAUAAAUAUUUGUAUUUAAAAUUUAAAUUACAUAUGAACUUCUUUUUUUCAGAAUUUGGAAGGACAACAUUAAUGUUGGCUGCGAGCUUUUUUUCCAAAAAUUUGGAAGGACAGCAUUAAUGUGGGCUGCUAGUAAAGGACUCCUAGAAGUAUUGAUGUUUUAAAUCAAUAAUGAAAAGUAAUUCAGAGGCCACUGGCAGUGUGGUUUAAGCUAUUGUUUCAUCUAUAUAAUCACACCUCCUAUUGAAUAAGAAACAAUAUCGUGUUCAAUCUUGAAAACCAGCAGUAAAAUAAUAAGAUUUAUAUUAAAUGAGUAAUUCAUUUAGUUAUUUUUUUUGCCAUAAUAGCCAGACUUGAUUAGUAGGCGCAUUAUUCUAGAAAAAAAAUAUAUCUAAUGCUGUUACAUUGGGUAGAAAAUUGUGAUAGCAAAAAACCAGAUUGAAAAUAUAAAGAGAAAAUCGUAAUAGAUCAUCAUUUUUAAAUGUCAGUUCAAUGAAUAUUUUUUACUUUUGGGCUGAUUAUUCUCCUGUUAUCAACCUUCCAUUGUAGGUAAGCGAAAACUUUAAUGACUGCUGAGAAUAAGUUACAAAGAAACAACUUUUGUCCAAAACUUUGGUAAGGAAUAUGACGUUUUUAAUGCAAUAAAUGGAUCGAACAAUAUUUUAUUUGCUUAAAGUAGGACAGCAUAGUACUCAGUCAUAAACAAUAGAAAGUUUAGUUUCUAUAUUAAUGCAAGUUGUCUGGAAGGACAACUGAAGGUGGUGACGUAUCUGGUUACGCAGGGCAGUCAAAAGAGAUUUUGGGUCGGUUUUUUUUAACAGAAUUAAGGAGACAACAUUAAUGCAUGCUGCCUAUGCAGAACAUCUGGAGGUAGUGACUUACCUCGUCAAACAGAGCAGUUAAAAGAUAGCUUGGGAUUUAUGUUAUUUGCAGAUUUAGGAGAGACAACAUUAAUGCAUGCUGCCUGGAGAGGACAUCUGGAGAUGGUGAUGUACCUCAUCACAUAGAGCAAUCAAUAGAUAUCUUGGAAUUUUUUUUUAUAUUUUUUUUCACAGAAUUUGGGAUAGACAACAUUAAUGUAUGCUGCCUAUAAAGGACAUCUGGAGAUCGUCCAAUACCUAGUCAUGCAAAGCAGUCAAAAAUUGAAUUUUUUCAAUUUUUUUAAAAAGAAUUUAGGAGACAACAUUGAUGCAUGCUGCCUAUACAGAACAUCUGGAGGUAGUGACAUACCUCGUCACACAGAGCAGUCAAAAGAUAGCUUGGGAUUUGUUAUUUUUUUUUUACAGAUUUAGGAGAGACACCAUUAAUGCAUGCUGUCAAGAAAGGACAUCUGGAGAUGGUCCAAUACCUAGUCACACUUGGCUGUAAAAAGAUAUUUUUAUUUUCUAGUUUUUUACAAACUUUAGAAGAGACAACAUUAAUGUAUGCUGCCUGGAGAGGACAUCUGGAGGUUGUGAGAUACCUAGUCACACAGAGCAGUCAAAGAUAGCUUGGGAUUUGUUAUUUUUUUUUUUACAGAUUUAGGAGAGACACCAUUAAUGCAUGCUGUCUAGAAAGGACAUCUGGAGAUGGUCCAAUACCUAGUCACACUUGGCUGUAAAAAGAUAUUUUUAUUUUCUAUUUUUUUACAAACUUUAGAAGAGACAACAUUAAUGUAUGCUGCCUGGAGAGGACAUCUGGAGAUCGUGAUGUACCUCGUCACACAGAGCAGUGUAUGCUGCCUGGAGAGGACAUCUGGAGAUCGUGAGGUACCUCGUCACACAGAGCAGUCAAAAAGAAUUCUCAUGUUUUGUUCUAUUUUAAAUUUGAAUAAAAAAUAUUUUUUUACCAUCAGACAUAUUAAAAAGAUAUUUUUACUAUAAAUUGUAUGAACAUAAUAAUUUUUUUUUGCAGAGAUGAAGAGAAAUCUUACUAGGUAAGUUUCCUUCAAAGGAAACCUGGAGAUCCUCCGUUAUCUAAUCACAGUGUUAUGUAAAGACAUUGCCUCCUUACAAUUACACGUUUUUUUCAUAUUGAAUCAACAUAUAUCUAUGUAGACAAAUAUAGAUUACAUAGACCUUACUUUUUAAUAAACAAUGGAAGGUUGGGUUUCAUUCUAUGGAUUUAGUCAGAGGGAUUAUAACAGGUAAUAAAAGCCCAUAAUAAAACUGCAGUUCAUUUUUUGCUUAUGGCCAUACUAUACUGAAUCUAUAUAUAUAAGUUUUACAUUUACUUCUAAGGUUAUUUCUUAAAAUAACAUCAUGUCUAGGGAUGUUCUAAAAUUUUGUUACAACCCAUAUUUAUUUUAUUUCAAUUCUAAAGGUUUAUUAUUAUUUUAACAGAAUAUCAGGUAACAGGCAUUUUCACAGUAGGCUGUGACAAAGAAGCUAGAACUAAAAAUAGGAUAUACUCUCCAUGCUAAGUAAGAAUCAUGUUUUAAAUCAGAAACGAUUUGUUAGAACCCAUAUUGUUUAUUUUGUUUUAAUUCUAAAGGAAACAUUUGGUCUAUUAUUAUUUUUUUCAGAUUAUGAGGGAACAGGCAUUAUCACAGCUCGAUGUGACAUAGAAGCAAGAACCAAGAUUGGAUAUACUCUCCAUGGUAAGGAAGAAUCAGGUUUUAAAUCAAAAACGAUUAAUCUGUAAUAAAUACUUGUUUAAAUCAUAUCAUUAACUUCACUGGCUUUGCACAAUCCUCAAUAUAAAUGCAAUAUUAACCCUAUUUCAUUUUUAAUAUUUAAAAUAGCAAAAACUUAUUUUCAGUAUUUAUCUU